AUGCCCUUCCUGGGUAUCACGAGCGGCGAGGCAGGUACGGCUGGAGAAAAAGCAAGGCAACAGGGUGCUAGGUUUAAGCAAGUACUCACCCCGCCGGAACUCGCAAUCAAACAUAGGGUUGGCAAACUAGGAAGGCACAUAAAAGAAGGCAGUUGCGAAGGCGAGCAAGGUGUAGAUAGCCUCACAACCAUCUACAAGGGAGACUUACACCUCAACCUGAAGUUCACCCACGUGGAGCCUUUACUAGUCGGAGUGUUAUUGCUCCUAAUGAUCCAUCAUCAAUCUACUUCACCUGUCAACCCAAAGCUGCCAUUUCCAGAACGGUUUGUGAAGUCAACUGAAGACAAGCAGAUUGCAAAGCUUCCGGAUAUGAUGACAAAUAUGCAGAUUACCGCCCCCAUCCUUGAUGGAAGUCAAACUUUCCAUGCUUUAUGUGGUCUUGGGUCUACUGUGAUUCCCUUCACUGUCUACGAGCCACUACCAUUGGGUGAUGUACGGCCGACUAGCAUCACUCUCCACCUUGCUGAUCAAGAUCCGGCAGACAUUUUGGUAUCUUCUUCUAAUGGUUGUGUCCGUCUAAGGUGGCUAUUGCAGCGAUUUAAGUAUCGCGGUUGUCUUGAGCUCUGGAUUGAUGGACGGAAACCUGGGGCUGGGUUCGAUUUCAACUCGGAGAUAGCCGGGUCUAUAGGUUCAACCUUCUCCUUGCCGAGUUGCAUCGCCCGCAUCGUGUUCAAUUGGAAAGUCUGGCAAAGGCGCUUCCAACUCCUGGUUCAGGAUCUGAGUGGUUGCACCCUUGUGAGCAAGUUGUUGACGGAUCGGAUAGGAGAAGUGAAACAAAGCUACGAAGGAUACAAAUUAGCUGAAGAAGUUAAGAAGAGCAUUAGUGAAGCGAGAGGAGGACAAGAUGGUAGGGAAGAGGAGGAAGGGGUAUUAAGGAAAAAAGGGAGGCUUUAUGUGGGGAUCGCUGGAAAUGCAAGAGCCAGGAUAGCGCAAGAACUGCAUGCGACAGCUACCGGAGGCCAUUCAGAUGAUCUCGUUGUAAAGGCGGUAUCCUAUGAAGAACAUCUUCAACAUCUCAGAAUUAUAUUCGACCGCCUAAGGCAACAUGCACUCAAGUUAAACCCUUUGAAGUGCGCCUUCAUGGUCUUGUCAGGCAAAUUCCUAGGGUUUGUCAUUCGACAUCGGGGAUUAGAAAUCGACCCGAGUAAAAUCAAGGCCAUACUCGAAAUGCCUCCUCCUGAAAACCUUAAGGAGCUGUGUUCGCUUCAAGGGCGCCUGGCAUACAUCAGGCGAUUCAUAGCCAAUUUUGCUGGAAGAAUCCAACCUUUUACAAGAAAAACCAUAAAAGACAUUCCAUUAUUUUGGGAUGAAAACUGCCAACAAGCCCUAGAUGGCAUCAAAAGCUAUCUCCUCAAUCUGCCAGUCCUGGCUGCGCCGAUACCAGGGAAGGAGCUUAUACUCUACACCACGGACUUGGAUGAAUCUCUUGGGGCUCUAUUGGCACAAGAAAAUGAAAACGGGAAAGAGAAUGCCCUCUAUUACCUCAGUCGUGUGCUCGUAGGAACUGAACAUGCGUACUCUCCUAUCGAAAAACAUUGCCUUGCACUGGUGUUCGCUGUCAAGAAGCUACAGCACUACAUGAUAGCACAUCAGGUCACCCUCAUCUCCAAAGUUCACCCACUUAAAUAUCUCAUGACAAGACCAAUGCUUACAGGAAGAUUGACAAGAUGGAGCCAUCAUCCUUACUGA
rnacentral:rRNA from 1 species